rnacentral:rRNA from 1 species
AUGAUGGCCGGGCGCAACCACCACCAAAACCACGGCCAGAGGCUCCGCCGUCUCGUCCCGUGCAUCCUCGUCAUCGUGUUCGCCGUCCACGCCGUCUCCUUCGCGCUCUACCUCCUCCUCCAGUCCAACCAUCCUCCCCCAAACCCCGCCAACCCCGAAGCUCAGACCCAUGAGAGAGUCCGAGAGCCGUCUUUCCAGAAGCCGUGGCCGCGCCUCCCGUCCUUCCUCCCCUGGACUGCCGACCCAUCGCUGACGCCGCGCUCCUGCGAGGCCUACUUCGGGAACGGCUUCUCCCAUCUCGUGGAAGUCCUUCCGGAGGGGCGUGGGGGCGGCGGGUGGUUCCGAUGCCACCACAGCGAGACUCUGGGCAGCUCGAUCUGCGAGGGCGCGCGAGUGCGGCUCGACCCGGCGCUCAUCGCGAUGUCGCGCGGCGGCGAGCCGAUCGACCAGGUGAUGGGCCGCAAGGAGGAGGAGGAGCUGCCCAGGUACGAAUCCGGUGCGCUGGUGGUGGAGGGGGCGGCGGCGGGGAGGAGGGGGCCCUUGGUCGAGCCGGGGUUCCUCGACGCCCACGUGCCCACCAACGGGAUCGGGAUGCACACCAUGAGAGCGCUGCUCGACUCCGCGCGUGUCGUGCCGCCCGGUGAGCUCCACUGCUCCCAGUGGAUUGAAGAACCGACACUUCUGGUCACACGAUUUGAGUAUGCAAACCUUUUCCACACAAUUACAGACUGGUACAGUGCAUAUGUUAGUUCCAGAGUCACAAAUUUACCUGAUCGUCCUAAUGUUGUUUUCGUGGAUGGGCAUUGCAAGGCACCACUGGAGCAAACAUGGGAAGCACUUUUUUCGAAUGUGACCUAUGCCAAGAGCUUCUCUGGCCCUGUUUGUUUCCGGCAUGCAGUUCUUUCACCAUUGGGCUAUGAGACUGCUCUAUUUAAGGGGCUUAGUGAAAGCUUCAGCUGUGAAGGAGCCCCUGCUCAGUCCCUUAGAAAUAAACCAGACCACCAGAAAACUGCACGGUUGUCUGAAUUUGGGGAGAUGAUUAUAGCUUCUUUUGAUCUUUUGGAGGAUGGGAUCGUGCCGCCUAAAAAAACAUCAAACGGACUCAACAUUCUCUUUGUUCGGAGAGAAGACUACUUGGCCCACCCACGUCACAGUGGAAAGGUUGAAUCUAGGCUGAGCAAUGAGCAGGAGGUAUUCGAUGCAGUUGAGAAGUGGGCAAAAGGUCAGAAGUGCAAAAUAAACGUCGUGAAUGGUCUUUUUGCACACAUGAGCAUGAAGGAGCAACUCCAGGCUAUCCUGGAAGCUUCAGUCAUAAUAGGGGCUCAUGGGGCUGGUCUGACACACCUGGUUUCAGCCACGUCAGACACAAAAGUUCUUGAGAUAAUCAGCAGCUUCUAUCGACGCCCACAUUUUGGCUUGAUCUCACACUGGAAGUCGUUAGAAUAUCAUGCCAUAAAUCUCCCUGGAUCAUAUGCAAGUAUCCCAGACGUUACCAGUGAGUUGGGGAAUAUACUGAAAGGUCUCGGAUGCUGA